GACAUUUGGUAGAGACUGUGAGGCCACCUGGUCCCAGCAGAUCCCAGAGAACGAACGGCCACAUUUGCUGGGGCUGAAACAAGGUUGUUAAGGGUGAAGCCUAGUGCCAGAUGUGU
rnacentral:rRNA from 1 species